rnacentral:rRNA from 1 species
UGGGGAAUUUUGGACAAUGGGGGAAACCCUGAUCCAGCCAUGCCGCGUGUGUGAAGAAGGCCUUCGGGUUGUAAAGCACUUUAAGCGGGGAGGAAGGGCCGACACCUAAUACGUGACGGCAUUGACGUUACCCGCAGAAUAAGCACCGGCUAACUCUGUGCCAGCAGCCGCGGUAAUACAGAGGGUGCAAGCGUUAAUCGGAAUUACUGGGCGUAAAGCGCGCGUAGGUGGUUGUGUAAGUUGGAUGUGAAAGCCCCGGGCUUAACCUGGGAACUGCAUUCAAAACUGCACGGCUAGAGUACGGGAGAGGGGGGUAGAAUUCCAGGUGUAGCGGUGAAAUGCGUAGAGAUCUGGAGGAAUACCGAUGGCGAAGGCAGCCCCCUGGCCUGAUACUGACACUGAGGUGCGAAAGCAUGGGGAGCAAACA